CGCCGGCCGCCGCGCCACACAGGCUCAAGACGGCCGAGGCCGUGCCACUGAGGGUCAACGGCGAGGCGCGUCGAGACCAGCGCAGCCCCGACCUGCUGCCCUCAGGAUCGGGGACGCGAAGCUGCUUCGUGCCCGUCGACUCGGACAGCCGGCCGUCCUCGACGCACCAGUCGAGAGCCAAUUACAAGUCACGCCACAAGCAGAUGCCAGAGGAGCUGUUCGCGCACGCCGAGCACAUAAUAUCCAACCCCUUGGACAGCUGCGUCCACUACGCGGACACGUCCCGAACAAUGCGGCCGUGUGACCUUGAGUCGUCGCGGUCAAGGUCGACCCGCCGGCCCAGUGGCGACGACUGUCGGACGCUGUCGGCCCCGGUUCGCAGGGCGCAUUCGAGUGGUCUCGACCGGCAGAGUGUCGUGUGAUUACCGGUUUGUGGAACGUAGCCAAUCGCUGUCCUCCGGGCGGGUUGUUGCCAAUGACGUCACGUGCGAAAGGACGGACGUCAGAGACAGACCCGGCAUACGAACUGCUGGCGAGAACUAUGUGGUUCACAGGCGUGACAACGGCGAGUUAGAAGGGAGCAUGACCCGAACAGUGUCCAUAAAAUUUAAGCAGUAACCUUAUGGCUACACUCGGAGGAAAUUAACUUUCAAAGGCGUCACCCACUACGUUAAGUACGUGUGUAUAAUUUUCGAGCCCGUUGUAAAUCUCAACGGUAUUUAAUUGCAGCGAAAUUGCUCUUGCUAAUUAAGGAAGACGGGCUGGCAAUUUGGGAAUGACGUUCAAAUGUGACGGGAAGUAGGAUGCGGCUUGUGUGCAUUAGCCGUCAGAUUUGCGGUGCCAACUGAUUUCAGAUGCUCGCACCAUGUAGAUAAUUUCGCACACAAUCAUUUUCCCGUUUUCCGUCAUCGAAGAUUCAACUUCAGCCUGUUUGGGGGGCAUUUGCAUAGUUUCAUUUUUAGGUACGUUUUAAACGUACGAUUUCCGUUUCUCAACAGCCGUUGUCGGGAUUUGACGUCCGGGCGGGUGGCAGGUAAACUGACGGGUCAAA